ACUCCUACGGGAGGCAGCAGUGGGGAAUAUUGGACAAUGGGGGAACCCGUAGCAUCCAGCCAUGCCGCGUGUGUGAAGAAGGCCUUUUGGUUGUAAAGCACUUUAAGCGAGGAGGAGGCUUACCUGGUUAAUACCUGGGAUAAGUGGACGUUACUCGCAGAAUAAGCACCGGCUAACUCUGUGCCAGCAGCCGCGGUAAUACAGAGGGUGCAAGCGUUAAUCGGAUUUACUGGGCGUAAAGCGCGCGUAGGUGGCUAAUUAAGUCAAAUGUGAAAUCCCCGCAGCUU
rnacentral:rRNA from 1 species